GGAAUAUUGGACAAUGGGCGAAAGCCUGAUCCAGCAAUGCCGCGUGAGUGAUGAAGGCCUUAGGGUUGUAAAGCUCUUUUACCAGGGAUGAUAAUGACAGUACCUGGAGAAUAAGCUCCGGCUAACUCCGUGCCAGCAGCCGCGGUAAUACAUAGGGUGCAAGCGUUGUCCGGAUUUAUUGGGCGUAAAGAGCUCGUAGGCGGUUAGACACGUCGGAUGUGAAAACUGGGGGCUCAACCCCCAGCCUGCAUUCGAUACGGUCUGACUAGAGUGUGGUAGGGGUAACUGGAAUUCCUGGUGUAGCGGUGAAAUGCGCAGAUAUCAGGAGGAACACCGAUGGCGAAGGCAGGUUACUGGGCCACCACUGACGCUGAGGAGCGAAAGCGUGGGGAGCAAACAGGAUUAGAUACCCUGGUAGUCCACGCCGUAAACGGUGGGCGCUAGAUGUGGGGACCAUUCCAUGGUUUCUGCGUCGCAGCUAACGCAUUAAGCGCCCCGCCUGGGGAGUACGAUCGCAAGAUUAAAACUCAAAUGAAUUGACGG
rnacentral:rRNA from 1 species